rnacentral:lncRNA from 1 species
ACCGUAUCUCGACAAACACAUCGCAAAAGAAGGUUACAUCAGAUAGAUCUCCACGAAGAUCAUGGAGAACUUUGUAUUGAAGAUCCAAGAGAGAGAAGAAGCCAUCUAGCUACUAGCUAUGGACCCGAAGGUCUGUGGUGAACUACUCACACAUCAUCGUAGAGGCAAUGGUGUUGAUGGAGAAGCCCUCCGUGUCCGAAUCCCCCUCCGGCAGGGCACGAGAACGGUCCCCAGAUGGGAUCUUGCGAAGACAGAAGCUUGCGGCGGCGGAAAAGUAUUUUCGUGGCUCCCUCUCGUGAUUCUGGAUUUUUAGGGAAUUUAUAGACGGAAGAAGUAGGGCAAAGGAGGCACGUGGGGCCCACAAGCCUGGUAGGCGCGCCCCCCAGGCCGCGGCUAGGGGGCUUGUGACCUCCCCCGGGGGUCCUUUUCCUUGGUUUUCAAGUUCCCUGCGUAUCUUCUGUUACGGAAAAAAUCAUUCCGAAGGUUUUAUCCGUUUGGACUCCGUUUAAUAUUCUUCUCUGAAAAUGGUCAAAAAAACGAAAAAAAACUGGAAGUGGCACUUGGCACUGAGUUAAUAGGUUAGUCCCCAAAAAGAUAUAAAAUAGCAUAUUCGUGCAUACAAAACAUCCAAAGUUGACAAGAUAAUAGCAUGGAACCAUCAAAAAUUAUAGAUACGUUGGAGACGUAUCAGGUGUCACCCUCGGUACCAGAUAGUAGCUCUGUAGCAUCGUACAACUAAGGGGGUGUGAGUGCUCUGUCGGGUCUUGUCUCGUCGAUCAGGGAUCGAGACUUGACGAUAACGCGGGGGCAACUGGACUAAGGGUCAGAGGGGAUGACUGAGCCACCUAUACUAAGCAUUUUAAAGUGUGGUACUCGAAAGUAGCAAUUCAUCAAAAUUAGGCUAUGCAUCAGAUAUAGGAGCUAACUACAACAAUACGAAAAUUCUAAUGCAAGCACAAGGAAGAAAUAAAAUGGGUGAUAUAGGAAUUAUCAAGGGGGUUUGCUUGCCCUUUUGCUCUGCAGACAGAUACGGAUCCUCGACCGGGUGGUAGCUAAUCACCGGAUCAUCACCGGUCUCGGGGGUCUACCGGAAAGGAAGCAACUUAGGGAAACACAAUAAAUAACAGAUCAAUCAAAUGCAUCACAAAGCAUGACAUAGCUAUAUGCAUCGCUAGGCAUGCACUAAUGCGGCAUUAAUCGUUAUAGACGGAUCGGGAAAAUAUCUAACGAUGAUAGGCAACAACUAAACUAUGAUAGUUAAUUAAAUUAAUUAGUUUGGAGUCCUCUUGACAUAGGCUAGUAGUUAAACUAACUAGUAACUAAUACUCCUACAAACUAACCCAGUGACCUAUAGGGAUGGCCACACAGUCUCACGCACACGGAGAGCACACACACUCAAGUACACACACAACAUACACUCACGCUCUCACUCACACGCACACACACACACGCACGCUGCACACUCACAAGCACGUCCACCCAUGGCCAGCCGCAGUGGCAGCUAGUGGCAGUAACAUCAGCACACAUCAAUAACAGCGAGCAGGAUCCACUGGCAGUGAGCAGCAGCUAGUGGAGCAAGCAGAGAAGCGGCGAGGAGCAACGCACCAGUAAGUGCAGCAACGGCAAGCAACAAGAGCACCAACAGUAGGAGCACGGAGGUGGAGGGCGCGAAUGCGGGAAGCGCAGGCGUGACCAAGGGGCAGCCAGGGCGUGCCCCG